AUUCUGAAAAUCUCCAAAGUCCACUUUGCCCUGGAGCACAAAUUGGCUGAACUAUUUGGGAUGUGUUUAUAGCCAGCAUCCUGAGUGCCCGGCUGUUCUGUAGUACUCUGCCAUUUCAACAAGGCCCAUGACCUUCGUGCAAGGUACUGGCCCACUGAACUCUCAGCUUUUCUUUUAUUUAUGAUGUGUGUCUCAGGGACAAUGACAACAUCUGGGAAUUCACUAAAUGACAGUUUUCCCUUCCAUUCCUUUCUCUGGUUUAUUUUGCCCAAUGCAAUCCUAUUAAGGGAAAAGCUAAUUGGUCACUAGCUUCGUUUCUGCUUAGCUUAGCCAAAAAGUCAAUCACCAGCAGCCCAGAGCUGCUGCGGCUGCUCAGUGCAUGUAUUUCCAUCUCCAUUGGCUUUGCAGGUCCUGAGAGAAUCGAUGGGAAUAUGUUUAAUUCUAUUUUGAUAUUUUUCAUUUUCAGCAAAAUGGAGACAACCUUGUGAUAAUGAUAAAGAGAAAGGGGCCCUCUUGGAGAUUGCUUUUGUGAGAAAGCUGGGUGUGUCCCUGGGUGUUCUUGUCUGUUUAUGGGAGUCUGCCUGGUUUUCUGACGUCUUUGUUUGUACAGUAUGGGAGUCAUUCAGGCGAUGAUGCUGUUAGAGUGCAAAGCGAUGCUGAGUUCUCAGACAGAAGAGCAUUGCUCAGAGCACAUAAAGAGUAACCCCACUGUGGAGAAAAAGAGUUCAUCAGUGAGCUAAAUGCCAGCAGGCUCAUUCUGCACAUAAUAUGGUGAAUGGUGGCAAGUAGUCUAUUUGGUUUGGCUUCCAUUAACUGGUUAGAAAACUCCAACAAGAGAAAGAUCAAACUUUGCAGGAUGAAAGCUGACAGGGCAGGAUGUCAAGUUGGCUCAGUGGUAAAGUGUAAACCUGAGAGCCCAAGUUUGAAUCCCCAGAACCCAUAAAGGUGGAUGUAAUAAUAUGAAUCGGUAAUCUUGGUGUGGGGAGAAUGGGGAGGCACAUGUGGUUAUAGGAGAGUCCUUAGAAGCUUCCGGGCCAGCUAACCUGGCAUGUGCUACAAGUAAAAAAAAAAAAAGAAGUCCUUUCUCAAACUCAUGGAAGGCAAGGAUUGUCACCCAAGAUUAUCCUCAGAUCUGCACGUGCACACAUGAAUGCACAUGCAUACCCAGAAACACAUAUAUACAUAAACACACAUACACAAAUAUCUUUUAAAAGCAGACAAAGCAGCAUGCUACCUGUUAAAUAAGCCCCCUGCUCACAAAGAAGCAGAGACUAGCUUUAACAAACAUAUGCACUAAGUUCUAUUAAAGCUAAGCAUUAAAAAUAAAAUGAAACUUUCUAUCACAAACAACC
rnacentral:lncRNA from 1 species